rnacentral:misc_RNA from 1 species
GACUACUGGCAGGAUCAACCAGGUAGCAUUCAUUUCCAGACCUCGACGCACCCCAUGGACGAACGCGGAGCGGGGAGGCUCCGUGAGCACCAAGGGGAGCACGAGGGUCAACCAGAGCGGAGGCGAAGCCUCGACACGUCGAGAUCGCAACGACCAGCGAGGGACCGCGCGACUACAAGAGAUAUCUCCGUACCCGAGAGCACGCGCAAGGCAUCGACGCACCGGCACGAGGGGGAACGACCGAGAGAAGGACGACCGCCCGGACGGAAAGCGCCGAAGCCCGCACGAUGUCACCCCACGCCCAGGAGGCGGAGGGGAGACAAGGCUACCAUGACAGGGACGACAACGAACCCACGUACCGCAAACCGGUAUCGAGCGCAGGAACCCUCCCAUCGCCCGCGACACGACCUCGGGGGGCCGGGGCGGGCGACCGAUUGAAACGGACAGACCACGGCAGUUCGAUGCAGGAAGCACGGAGCCUGCCGUGGGAACAUAUCCUGAUGGCCACUCAUGCGCCGUCCCAACGCUGCCCGACGGAGCAUCCGACGACCCGACGCCACCCCCAUAAGGAGGAGGGACCGGGACGAACGAGACGCAACACGGACAAGCCUGCUAG